UUCCAUGGUUGUACUUGGCUUUCAAUAGGAUGAUCAGUCCUUUUGACUCAGAGAACCAAGAGCAAGUUUGUAUGUGCAGGUCCCAUCCAAAUCUGCUGAAACCCUCUUCAAAUAUAUUGCUCCUGAACAAGUACCGGUUCAAUAUGGUGGACUGAGCUGAGAAGGUGAACAAGAGUUCACUGUGGUGGAUGUCGUAACAGAGGUGACAAUCAAGCCAGCAACCAAGCACACCAUUGAAUUCCCUAUAACUGAGACCUUCUGGUUUGGGAGCUCCGAGUUGUGGGAUGGAAUGUCAACUAUGGAGCCGAAUUAGUGCCGACGGCUGAAGACGGAUACACCGUGAUCGUGUC